GAAAUCCCCGGGCUCAACCUGGGAAUUGCAUUCAAAACUGACGAGCUAGAGUAUGGUAGAGGGUGGUGGAAUUUCCUGUGUAGCGGUGAAAUGCGUAGAUAUAGGAAGGAACACCAGUGGCGAAGGCGACCACCUGGACUGAUACUGACACUGAGGUGCGAAAGCGUGGGGAGCAAACAGGAUUAGAUACCCCGGUAGUCC
rnacentral:rRNA from 1 species